GACGAACGCUGGCGGCGUGCUUAACACAUGCAAGUCGAACGAAGGCUGCAGCACUGUAGCCUUAGUGGCGGACGGGUGAGUAACGCGUGGGCAACCUGCCUUGUACUGGGGGAUAACACUGGGAAACUAGUGCUAAUACCGCAUAACAUCAUUAUGUGGCAUCACAUGAUGAUCAAAGGAGCAAUCCGGUACAAGAUGGGCCCGCGUCCGAUUAGCUAGUCGGCGGGGUAACAGCCCACCAAGGCGACGAUCGGUAGCCGAACUGAGAGGUUGAUCGGCCACAUUGGGACUGAGACACGGCCCAGACUCCUACGGGAGGCAGCAGUGGGGAAUAUUGCACAAUGGACGAAAGUCUGAUGCAGCAACGCCGCGUGAAGGAUGAAGGUUUUCGGAUUGUAAACUUCUUUGAUGAGGGACGAAUAAUGACGGUACCUCAAAAACAAGCCACGGCUAACUACGUGCCAGCAGCCGCAGUAACAC
rnacentral:rRNA from 1 species